CCUACGGGGGGCUGCAGUGGGGAAUAUUGGACAAUGGGGGCAACCCUGAUCCAGCCAUGCCGCGUGUGUGAAGAAGGCCCUCGGGUUGUAAAGCACUUUCAGUGAGGAAGAACGCCUGGUGGUUAAUACCCAUCAGGAAAGACAUCACUCACAGAAGAAGCACCGGCUAACUCCGUGCCAGCAGCCGCGGUAAUACGGAGGGUGCGAGCGUUAAUCGGAAUUACUGGGCGUAAAGCGCGCGUAGGUGGCUUGAUAAGCCGGUUGUGAAAGCCCCGGGCUCAACCUGGGAACGGCAUCCGGAACUGUCAAGCUAGAGUGCAGGAGAGGAAGGUAGAAUUCCCGGUGUAGCGGUGAAAUGCGUAGAGAUCGGGAGGAAUACCAGUGGCGAAGGCGGCCCUCUGGACUGACACUGACACUGAGGUGCGAAAGCGUGGGUAGCAAACAGGAUUAGAUACCCCGGUAGUC
rnacentral:rRNA from 1 species